AAGUUGUACUUCUGUUUUCUACUUUAUUGAGUGCAUAACAUUAGGUGUACUCAGUAUUAAAUGCUUGUUCUGACUGCCUCUUUAGCCACAACGUUGUUGCACUCCAUACAAUAUUAACUUCUUUAGUAAAAAUGAAGCUUUUAUAUAUAUUGUUCUUGUGUUUUCUACUGGUUGUUGCUGAUAACAAGAACAAAGGUACAAAAAGGCCGCCUUUCAUAGUUCACAACAAUAUUCUACCGCCGAGGCAAUUGGAACAUAUUUACGAACAAGCCAGUGGAAAAUCAAAACCUUGAUUAAUCAGUUUAAGAAGAAAAAUAAUAACAGUACAAAUAAAGCGCCACUUUUCAUAGUUCACACAAAUACUCUGCCGCGGAAUCAACUGGAACAUCUUUAAGAACAAGCCAGUGGAAAACUCACACCUUGAUCAAUCAGUUUACGAACAGAAUUAAUAACGAAAGCAGGUUUAAAAGAAAAAGGGAAAGAAGAAAAACGAGUAAAAAUGAUUUUUUACAGCAUAUAUUAUCAUCGGCAAGGAUAUUGAGCCCUGACCUUCACCUGCG